rnacentral:rRNA from 1 species
CCCUUCGGGGAGCCUAUACAGGUGUUGCAUGGCUGUCGUCAGCUCGUGUCGUGAGAUGUUCGGUUAAGUCCGCUAACGAGCGCAACCCUCGUCGUAUGUUAUAUGUGUCAUACGAGACUGCCGGUAAAAAGCCGGAGGAAGGUGAGGAUGAUGUCAAGUCAGCAUGACCUUUAUAUCCAGGGCUACACACACGCUACAAUGGUCUGUACAAUGGGUAGCCAAGCCGCGAGGCGGAGCCAAUCCUGAAAGCAGGCCUCAGUUCAGAUUGCAGUCUGCAACUCGACUGCAUGAAGCCGGAGUUGCUAGUAACCGCAGGUCAGCAAUACUGCGGUGAAUACGUUCCCGGGUCUU